GAUGAACGCUAGCGGCAGGCUUAAUACAUGCAAGUCGUGGGGCAGCAGGUUUGUAGCAAUACAGAUGCUGGCGACCGGCAAACGGGUGCGGAACACGUACACAACCUUCCUUUAAGUGGGGAAUAGCCCAGAGAAAUUUGGAUUAAUACCCCGUAACGUUAUGAUGUGGCAUCACAUUAUAAUUAUAGCUCCGGCGCUUAAUGAUGGGUGUGCGGCUGAUUAGGUAGUUGGCGGGGAAACGGCCCACCAAGCCUGCGAUCAGUAACUGGGGUGAGAGCACGACCAGUCACACGGGCACUGAGACACGGGCCCGACUCCUACGGGAGGCAGCAGUAAGGAAUAUUGGGCAAUGGAGGCAACUCUGACCCAGCCAUGCCGCGUGGAGGAUGAAGGUCCUCUGGAUUGUAAACUUCUUUUAUAUGGGACGAAAAAGGGCUUUUCUAAGUCAACUGACGGUACCAUAUGAAUAAGCACCGGCUAACUCCGUGCCAGCAGCCGCCGUAACAC
rnacentral:rRNA from 1 species